GUGUCUUUGUGUUCGGAUGAUCUCUAAGACAGAUUAAGCAAAAGCAGCAAGGGGCAGAACUCUGAACAGUAUCCUACCACCUGUGUGAAAAAAUGGGGAACUAACUGCAUUCAUAUUUGCCAGGGUUUGCAUAAAGAAACUCGGGAAGAUAUACUGAAACUAACAAAUGCGGCUGGUUAUCUAAGGGAGUUGGGCCUAGCAAGAUGGCUAGGCAGAAAGAAACCUUUUCACUGAUACAUUUUCAUAUUCUUAAUACCUGAACCAUUAAGAAUACAAUACAUAUUCAAAAAUUUAUUAAAAAGAAAACUCUCGUGCUUUCAAAAAGAAAUACUCCUGGUGGCCACCCUGUCCAAACGUCUCAGGGCAGCACACCUAGCCCCAGCAUUCCUCAUUCUUCUUUCUCAACCCAACGCCUGGUUUCCCUCAGGCUGUCCUCAGGUCGAGAAGGCUCCUCGACCUUCUACUUCCUACCUAGUCAAUUCCUUCCCAUCUUGUGGACCCUGCGACAGGCAGUCUCCCCGCGGGAUCCUGUAUAACAGAGACAGCAGUGAAGAACUGAGAAACACCGGUGCGAGGCCCCGGCCCUUCUCCACACACCAGGCAGCCCCAACCCGGGCCUGGCCCGCUCCAACAGUCGGAGGUGGAGCUCACAAGGACCGAAAUACGUUCCAGGGCUGCGCCCUACACCCGUCCGCAGGCCCGAAGUCUACCCUCCGCUCCACUCCCUCGGAACGCGCUUCCUGAGAAAGAGGCCCCAGGGCCACCCCAGGAGGGAGGAGUGAUGGUGGAGGAGAGCGUGCGCGGACCUGGGUACACCGCCAGUCUUCCAGCGGUGGGCGUUUCGGACGCAGGCUUCCGGCCCUUAUGCUAGCCCUGGGGAGGCGCUCCCGGCCAGGCUGUCUCCUGACCAGACCUGACCCCUAACCUGCAGCGGCGUCAGCGGAUUGGAACCUCUGUGUCGGGUUCUGAAACCCGGCCUUGAAAGCUUUUUAAAGUAAUAGUUUUUUUUUUUUUUUUCAGUCUUUUAAUAACUUGGAAAAGACAUUUGGAGGGCACAUUGUGAAUACUGACAUUAAAAAACAAACAAAAAACCAACUGCUUCUCAUUCUUUAAUAAGAGUAUUUAAAGUAUGGUAGUUCCUGAGCGCCUCAGCUGUUAACGAACCUGACAAGUAUCCAUGAAGACACGGGUUCCAUCCCUGCCCUCCCUCAGUG